AAGUAUAACCAUAGAGGGUGAUAGUCCCGUAUGCGAAAAACAAACCUUAGCUAGCAGUAUCCUGAGUAGGGCGGGACACGAGGAAUCCUGUCUGAAUCUGGGUCGACCACGAUCCAACCCUAAAUACUAAUACCAGAUCGAUAGUGCACAAGUACCGUGAGGGAAAGGUGAAAAGAACUGAGGUGAUCAGAGUGAAAUAGAACCUGAAACCAUUUGCUUACAAUCAUUCAGAGCCCUAUGUAGCAAUACAGGGUGAUGGACUGCCUUUUGCAUAAUGAGCCUGCGAGUUGUGGUGUCUGGCAAGGUUAAGCAAACGCGAAGCCGUAGCGAAAGCGAGUCUGAAUAGGGCGCUUAGUCAGAUGCUGCAGACCCGAAACGAAGUGAUCUAUCCAUGAGCAAGUUGAAGCUAGUGUAAGAACUAGUGGAGGACUGAACCCAUAGGCGUUGAAAAGCCCCGGGAUGACUUGUGGAUAGGGGUGAAAGGCCAAUCAAACUUCGUGAUAGCUGGUUCUCUCCGAAAUAUAUUUAGGUAUAGCGUUGUGUCGUAAUAUAAGGGGGUAGAGCACUGAAUGGGCUAGGGCAUACACCAAUGUACCAAACCCUAUCAAACUCCGAAUACCUUAUAUGUAAUCACAGCAGUCAGGCGGCGAGUGAUAAAAUCCGUCGUCAAGAGGGAAACAACCCAGACUACCAGCUAAGGUCCCUAAAUCUUACUUAAGUGGAAAACGAUGUGAAGUUACUUAAACAACCAGGAGGUUGGCUUAGAAGCAGCCAUCCUUUAAAGAAAGCGUAAUAGCUCACUGGUCUAGUGAUUUUGCGCGGAAAAUAUAACGGGGCUAAAGU
rnacentral:rRNA from 1 species